rnacentral:rRNA from 1 species
GUUGAACGCUGGCGGCAUGCCUAACACAUGCAAGUCGAGCGGACGGAGGGAGCUUUUUCUUGGAUGCAGCGGCGGGCGGGCGGGUAAGUCCCAGGAAUCUACCCGGCAUUUGGGGCUAAGGUCCGGUAACGGGCCCGGAUCUCGCAUCCGUCGAUAUGGUGAACGUGGGGGUUCUUUGGAGCUCACGCGAUUUGAUGUCACUAGGUCGUAGUAGCUAGUUGGUUAGGUAAAGGCCUACCAAGGCGACGAUGCGUAACUGGACUGAGAGUAUGAUCAGUCACACUGGAACUGAGACACGGUCCAGACUCCUACGGGAGGCAGCAGUGGGGAAUAUUCGGCAAUGGGCGAAAGCCUGACGCAGCAACGCCGCGUGUGUGAUGAAGGUCUUCGGAUCGUAAAGCACUGUUAGUAGGGAAGAACAGCUGUAUAUGAAUACCUUGCUGUUUUGACGGUACCUACUGAAUAAGCACCGGCUAACUACGUG